GUUUGAAGCGUCUAUGAUAAACAGAGAGCAAAUUAGAAUCCAAGGAAGUUGACAUGUCAUCACUUCAUUUUUUUGCGCCUGCGCAUAAAUCUGAGAAACGUGAGUUUGUCAUCAUUUUUUAUCUAGACAUAGGAUAGGUUGUGUGAAAAUAUUACUGAUGUUUAACGUUAAAAGUGGACCAAAAGAUUAAUGCUAAACAACAUUUGACAUGUUUGAACGAACAUAAAUAUAUUAUUUACUAGUUUUUUUUAGCUUUUCGGCGUGAUUUUACCAGCCCCCACCACGUUUUGUGGGAGCAUAAUGAACGCUAAGUACUUGGUGUUAUUUGGACAUAAAUUAUGAACUUUGUCAAAAGAAACCACAUUUGUUCCGGACCUGGAAUGCCUUCCGGACCUGGGAUCCUGCCUUCUGAUGGAGAUAAUCAAAGUUGUCUUGAAAGCACCAUAAAUCCAGAGAAUGCCAGACUGAUGACAAAGUUUGAUGCCAAAAUUUGCCGACAAAGGAACGUUGUGCCACAUUCCUGUUCAAGUAAACACAGCACAACAACGUAGCUCAAUGUCCAGUCUGCCAGGGGAAAAUAACUGUUUUGAAACAGACAUCAGAUUACACAGAUUACGGAGCAACAACCUCUCCUUCAACGUAAUGGAACCAUGGGAGUUGGUUGGGAUGGACCUAACCAGGGCAUCUGAGGGGUACCAGUACAUAUGUGUAAUGAUGGAUUACAUUUCAAAAUGGACAGAGGCUUUCCCCUUAAAGACAAAACGUGCAGAGGAGGUCACAGACUGCAUUGUGAAAUUGUUCUACAGGUUUGGCGUCCCCAAAAUAAUUGUAACUGAUCAAGGGAAGUAAUUUGUGAACAAGGACCCUUAACAAACAGGUGAACCUGAAAGCAGAACAAUGGAACAAAUUCCUGGAUGCUACCAUUUUUGAAAUCAGAACAAAGAAAAAAUUAUGACAAAGUUCUUCCCAUACUUUUUGAUGUUUGGCCAAAAUGCUCUAUAUCCUUCUAAGAUGCCAGUACAUUAUGAACUCCAAGGCAUAGCGAUUGGUCUCUGCUAUGUCUCCCACCAGCUCCUCUGUCAGAAAGAACAGAUGGAAAUGGCAAGGGGCGUUGCACUCCAGACUGG
rnacentral:lncRNA from 1 species